rnacentral:rRNA from 1 species
GCAACGACCAGAGNNCGUGUUUAUCAUGAACGGGGUCGGGGUGAAAGCCCCUUCCUCAAGCCGGGGAAUCGCUUCGCCUUGGCGGGGCGUCCUUCCCGGCACAAUAACGAACCCCGGCGCGGUCUGCGCCAAGGAACAUGAAUACAAGCGUGCCCUUCUCCGACCGGUUCGCCGGUCGUGGACGUGGCACCAAGUCGUAUAUAACAUUAAACGACUCUCGGCAACGGAUAUCUCGGCUCUCGCAUCGAUGAAGAACGUAGCGAAAUGCGAUACUUGGUGUGAAUUGCAGAAUCCCGUGAACCAUCGAGUCUUUGAACGCAAGUUGCGCCCGAAGCCUUUAGGUUGAGGGCACGCCUGCCUGGGCGUCACGCAUCGCGUCUCCCCCCACCACCCCGUGUGGAUGGGGAGGAGGAUGAUGGCCUCCCAUGCCUCACCGGGCGUGGAUGGCCUAAAUAUGGAGCCCCCGGUUACGAAGUGCCGCGGCAAUUGGUGGAAUACAAGGCCACGCCUAGGAUGAAACGGUAGUCGCGCACAUCGUGGCUCUUGAGGACUCGCAGGACCCUUACUUGUUUGCCCCUAGGGGCGGCAAAACCGUUGCGACCCCAGGUCAGGCGGGGCUACCCGCUGAGUUUAAGCAUAUCAAUAACGGAGGAACUGCUCUGAUAAACUCGAUAAAAAGGGACCGGGGGCUCGCGACGGGACGAAAUCCCCCACUCGAUCCCCUCGACGGGUUUACUGAACUAAAACCGAAGAGGGUGGAAUAUCAACUAAUCUAA